AUUGAACGCUGGCGGCAGGCCUAACACAUGCAAGUCGAGCGGAUGAAGGGAGCUUGCUCCUGGAUUCAGCGGCGGACGGGUGAGUAAUGCCUAGGAAUCUGCCUGGUAGUGGGGGAUAACGUCCGGAAACGGGCGCUAAUACCGCAUACGUCCUGAGGGAGAAAGUGGGGGAUCUUCGGACCUCACGCUAUCAGAUGAGCCUAGGUCGGAUUAACUAGUUGGUGGGGUAAAGGCCUACCAAGGCGACGAUCCGUAACUGGUCUGAGAGGAUGAUCAGUCACACUGGAACUGAGACACGGUCCAGACUCCUACGGGAGGCAGCAGUGGGGAAUAUUGGACAAUGGGCGAAAGCCUGAUCCAGCCAUGCCGCGUGUGUGUAGAAGGUCUUCGGAUUGUAAAGCACUUUAAGUUGGGAGGAAGGGCAGUAAGUUAAUACCUUGCUGUUUUGACGUUACCAACAGAAUAAGCACCGGCUAACUUCGUG
rnacentral:rRNA from 1 species